GCCAGAGCCGUAUCACCCUGCAGUUCUUGCCUGGUGUGCUACUGAAGGACCAGGGUUGAACCUGGCCAGGACCUGGAUGGGAGACCUCCUGGGGAAAACUAAGGUUGCAGCUGGAA
rnacentral:rRNA from 1 species